rnacentral:rRNA from 1 species
GAUGAACGCUGGCGGCGUGACUAAUACAUGCCAGCCGCGAGAACAGACGAGGAGCUUGCUGCUCUCACGUUACAGGCGGACGUUUGCGUAACCCGUGGCUAACCUACCUUUAAGACGGGGAUAACUUCGGGAAACCGGAGCUAAUACCGGAUAAUAUAUUGAACCGCAUGGUUCAAUAGUGAAAGACGGUUUUGCUGUCCCUUAUAGAUGGAUCCGCGCCGCAUUCGCUAGUUGGUAAGGUAACGGCUUACCAAGGGAACGAUGCGUAGCGGACCUGAGAGAGUGAUCGGCCACACGAGAGCUGAGACACGGUCCAGACGCCUACGGGAGGCAGCAGUAGGGAAGCUGCCGCAAUGGGCGGAAGCCUGACGGAGCAACGCCGCGUGAGUGAUGAAGGUCCUCGGAUCGUAAAGCUCGGUUAUGAGGGAAGAACAAGUGUGGAAGUAGCUAUGCACGGCUGGACGGGACCUAAUCAGAAAGACACGGCUAACUAAGGG